rnacentral:rRNA from 1 species
UACAGAGGUCUCAAGCGUUGUUCGGAUUCAUUGGGCGUAAAGGGUGCGUAGGUGGCGGGGUAAGUCAGGUGUGAAAUCUCGGGGCUCAACCCCGAAACUGCACUUGAUACUGCCUUGCUCGAGUACUGGAGAGGAGAUUGGAAUUUACGGUGUAGCAGUGAAAUGCGUAGAUAUCGUAAGGAAGACCAGUGGCGAAGGCGAAUCUCUGGGCAGUUACUGACACUGAGGCACGAAGGCCAGGGGAGCAAACGGG